AGAUUAAGUUAUUAAGGGCGCACGGUGGAUGCCUUGGCACUAGAAGCCGAAGAAGGACGUUACUAACGACGAUAUGCUUUGGGUAGCUGUAAGUAAGCGUUGAUCCAGAGAUUUCCGAAUGGGGGAACCCAACAUGAGUUAUGUCAUGUUAUCGACAUGUGAAUUCAUAGCAUGUCAGAAGGCAGACCCGGAGAACUGAAACAUCUUAGUACCCGGAGGAAGAGAAAGAAAAAUCGAUUCCCUGAGUAGCGGCGAGCGAAACGGGAAGAGCCCAAACCAACAAGCUUGCUUGUUGGGGUUGUAGGACACUCUAUACGGAGUUACAAAAGAACAUGUUAGACGAAUCAUCUGGAAAGAUGAAUCAAAGAAGGUAAUAAUCCUGUAGUCGAAAACAUAUUCUCUCUUGAGUGGAUCCUGAGUACGACGGAGCACGUGAAAUUCCGUCGGAAUCUAGGAGGACCAUCUCCUAAGGCUAAAUACUCUCUAGUGACCGAUAGUGAACCAGUACCGUGAGGGAAAGGUGAAAAGUACCCCGGAAGGGGAGUGAAAGAGAACUUGAAACCGUGUGCUUACAAGUAGUCAGAGCCCGUUUAUGGGUGAUGGCGUGCCUUUUGUAGAAUGAACCGGCGAGUUACGAUCUGAUGCAAGGUUAAGCAGCGAAUGUGGAGCCGUAGCGAAAGCGAGUCUGAAUAGGGCGUUGAGUAUUUGGUCGUAGACCCGAAACCAGGUGAUCUACCCUUGGUCAGGUUGAAGUUCAGGUAACACUGAAUGGAGGACCGAACCGACUUACGUUGAAAAGUGAGCGGAUGAACUGAGGGUAGCGGAGAAAUUCCAAUCGAACUUGGAGAUAGCUGGUUCUCUCCGAAAUAGCUUUAGGGCUAGCCUCAAGUGAUGAUUAUUGGAGGUAGAGCACUGUUUGGACGAGGGGCCCCUCUCGGGUUACCGAAUUCAGACAAACUCCGAAUGCCAAUCAAUUUAACUUGGGAGUCAGAACAUGGGUGAUAAGGUCCGUGUUCGAAAGGGAAACAGCCCAGACCACCAGCUAAGGUCCCAAAAUAUAUGUUAAGUGGAAAAGGAUGUGGCGUUGCCCAGACAACUAGGAUGUUGGCUUAGAAGCAGCCAUCAUUUAAAGAGUGCGUAAUAGCUCACUAGUCGAGUGACACUGCGCCGAAAAUGUACCGGGGCUAAACAUAUUACCGAAGCUGUGGAUUGUCCUUCGGACAAUGGUAGGAGAGCGUUCUAAGGGCGUUGAAGCAUGAUCGCAAGGACAUGUGGAGCGCUUAGAAGUGAGAAUGCCGGUGUGAGUAGCGAAAGACGGGUGAGAAUCCCGUCCACCGAUUGACUAAGGUUUCCAGAGGAAGGCUCGUCCGCUCUGGGUUAGUCGGGUCCUAAGCUGAGGCCGACAGGCGUAGGCGAUGGAUAACAGGUUGAUAUUCCUGUACCACCUAGUAUCGUUUUAAUCGAUGGGGGGACGCAGUAGGAUAGGCGAAGCGUGCUGUUGGAGUGCACGUCCAAGCAGUAAGGCUGAGUGUUAGGCAAAUCCGGCACUCGUUAGGCUGAGCUGUGAUGGGGAGAGGAAAUUGUUUCCUUGAGUCGUUGAUUUCACACUGCCGAGAAAAGCCUCUAGAUAGAUAACAGGUGCCCGUACCGCAAACCGACACAGGUAGUCAAGAUGAGAAUUCUAAGGUGAGCGAGCGAACUCUCGUUAAGGAACUCGGCAAAAUGACCCCGUAACUUCGGGAGAAGGGGUGCUCUUUAGGGUUCACGCCCAGAAGAGCCGCAGUGAAUAGGCCCAAGCGACUGUUUAUCAAAAACACAGGUCUCUGCUAAACCGUAAGGUGAUGUAUAGGGGCUGACGCCUGCCCGGUGCUGGAAGGUUAAGAGGAGUGGUUAGCUUCUGCGAAGCCACGAAUCGAAGCCCCAGUAAACGGCGGCCGUAACUAUAACGGUCCUAAGGUAGCGAAAUUCCUUGUCGGGUAAGUUCCGACCCGCACGAAAGGCGUAACGAUUUGGGCACUGUCUCAACGAGAGACUCGGUGAAAUCAUAGUACCUGUGAAGAUGCAGGUUACCCGCGACAGGACGGAAAGACCCCGUGGAGCUUUACUGUAGCCUGAUAUUGAAAUUCGGCACAGCUUGUACAGGAUAGGUAGGAGCCAUUGAAACGUGAGCGCUAGCUUACGUGGAGGCGUUGGUGGGAUACUACCCUAGCUGUGUUGGCUUUCUAACCCGCACCACUUAUCGUGGUGGGAGACAGUGUCAGGCGGGCAGUUUGACUGGGGCGGUCGCCUCCUAAAAGGUAACGGAGGCGCUCAAAGGUUCCCUCAGAAUGGUUGGAAAUCAUUCACAGAGUGUAAAGGCAUAAGGGAGCUUGACUGCGAGACCUACAAGUCGAGCAGGGUCGAAAGACGGACUUAGUGAUCCGGUGGUUCCGCAUGGAAGGGCCAUCGCUCAACGGAUAAAAGCUACCCCGGGGAUAACAGGCUUAUCUCCCCCAAGAGUUCACAUCGACGGGGAGGUUUGGCACCUCGAUGUCGGCUCAUCGCAUCCUGGGGCUGUAGUCGGUCCCAAGGGUUGGGCUGUUCGCCCAUUAAAGCGGUACGCGAGCUGGGUUCAGAACGUCGUGAGACAGUUCGGUCCCUAUCCGUCGUGGGCGUAGGAAAUUUGAGAGGAGCUGUCCUUAGUACGAGAGGACCGGGAUGGACAUACCUCUGGUGUACCAGUUGUCGUGCCAACGGCAUAGCUGGGUAGCUAUGUAUGGACGGGAUAAGUGCUGAAAGCAUCUAAGCAUGAAGCCCCCCUCAAGAUGAGAUUUCCCAACUUCGGUUAUAAGAUCCCUCGAAGAUGACGAGGUUAAUAGGUUCGAGGUGGAAGCGUGGUGACACGUGGAGCUGACGAAUACUAAUCGAUCGAAGACUUAAUCAAU
rnacentral:rRNA from 2 species